rnacentral:ncRNA from 1 species
CAUCGCGAGGUGGAAUUCGAAGGAAGCUGUAAGCAAACCCUUGGCCUGACGGACAGGAACCACAUAUAAGGCUGGGAAAUACGGAUAAGUCGGCCAAAAACGAUGAAGUCCAAAAGUUGCUGGAGACAUAAAUGAAUUAGG